rnacentral:tRNA from 1 species
GGAUUGUGGCUCAGCGGUAGAGCGCUUGCCUAGCAUGUGUGAGGUCCUGGGUUCGAUCCUCAACACCA